UAAUGUAAAAUAAAUAACGUUAAAUAUGAUUUGUUGAAAAAUAGAUUAAACUAAAAGUUCAGUAAAAGUUAGGUUAUGAUAAACUUUACCGUCUGGAAUAUAUAGAUAUAAUUGUUUGUAUUAUUGUGUAUUCUUUUUUUCUAUAAAUUCUUAUUUAUAGCACAGAAUUAGAAUACUCGUUUACAAUGAAGCAGAAUAAUAUUUAAGAGAAUUUGAAUAUAUUUGAUUCCGAUUAACGUUUAAAUAUGAACGCGAAUAAAACUAAUUAACAGUUUUCAAGAUGGGUAGUGUUUACCAUAAAAGGCAGAACAUGAUGCGGCUUCUGAACACGAUAUAGAAAGAAAUGUGGCCAAAAGAAGCAAUGAUUGCAUAUGGAUAAAUUUUGAUAAAAAAAAUCGUGAGAAGAGCGAUGCAAUGACAAGUGAAACUGCACGACCUGCAUUCGGGGGAUGCAUCGAAAGAAGAACGAGUUUGCCGAACGAGUUGUGGAGAUGGAGUCGGGACAAGAGGAACCAAAGGUCUUCAAGUUUUUGUGAGACAUACGAAACCUGCGACGCGGAGCGACAUUCUUCUUCUCUUCUAACCCUUUCUGUUCUCGGUUCGAUGAACGUAAAGAAAUCGGUGUAGAGACGCUGAACUUUUAGGGGCAUACUUUUUCGGAACUGAAUAAAAGUGUUUAUCUUCGAUUUCUACCAAGAUCAACAAUUAUUUUGAUUUUAGUUAAACAAUUUUAAUGAGUGAGUAUUAUUAUUGAAAUAAUUCUUAAAAUUUUUUAAAAAUUUUAAAGCCAAAGAAAUUUUUAAAAAUUUCAUUUUAUGUUUCAUAACAUUACUAUUAUACCAUACUCUCCAUCUUUUUAAAAAGAAAAAAGAAAUCAGGAUAUGAAGAUAUUUAAUUUUUAUUUUCAUUUUUUUUUUUCUUUCCUUUUGUAAUAUCGUCCAAUAAACAACAUGAAAAGACUAUAAUCUCCUGAAAUAAAACGUUCAAGACUUCGAUAAAAAUGCCCAGCCAGAUUCCCCUCAGAUAAGUUGUGCGAUUUCCAGUGAGUUCUCCCUCUAUCGACUGAUACUCACACA